rnacentral:rRNA from 1 species
CAGCAGCCGCGGGAAUACAGAGGGUGCGAGCGUUAAUCGGAUUUACUGGGCGUAAAGCGUGCGUAGGCGGCUUCUUAAGUCGGAUGUGAAAUCCCUGAGCUUAACUUAGGAAUUGCAUUCGAUACUGGGAAGCUAGAGUAUGGGAGAGGAUGGUAGAAUUCCAGGUGUAGCGGUGAAAUGCGUAGAGAUCUGGAGGAAUACCGAUGGCGAAGGCAGCCAUCUGGCCUAAUACUGAUGCUGAGGUACGAAAGCAUGGGGAGCAAACAGGAUUAGAUACCCGCGUAGUCCCUGUCUCUUAUAA